rnacentral:rRNA from 1 species
UGGGGAAUAUUGGACAAUGGGGGCAACCCUGAUCCAGCCAUGCCGCGUGAGUGAUGAAGGCCUUCGGGUUGUAAAGCUCUUUUGGCGGGGACGAUGAUGACGGUACCCGCAGAAUAAGCCCCGGCUAACUUCGUGCCAGCAGCCGCGGUAAGACGAAGGGGGCUAGCGUUGUUCGGAAUUACUGGGCGUAAAGCGAGUGUAGGCGGUUGCCGUAGUCAGGUGUGAAAGCCUUGAGCUCAACUCAAGAAAUGCACUUGAUACUGGGUGACUAGAGGACCGGAGAGGAUAGUGGAAUUCCCAGUGUAGUGGUGAAAUACGUAGAGACUGGGAAGAACACCAGUGGCGAAGGCGGCUAUCUGGACGGUUACUGACGCUAAGACUCGAAAGCGUGGGGAGCAAACAGGAUUAGAUACCCUGGUAGUCCACGCCGUAAACGAUGGGUGCUAGACGUUGGCGAGCUUGCUCGUCAGUGUCGCAGCUAACGCGUUAAGCACCCCCGCCUGGGGGAGUACGGCCGCAAGAUUAAAACUCAAA